CACGUCACGCCGAGAGGAACCUUACGCAGGGCGCGCUUUAGUGGCGCACGGAAGCCCGCGUGUGAGGGCUUGUGGAGUGUUUCGGCCCAGAAUCUGAGCGAGGAGUCGCGUGUUUGUUUCUCAGAGUGUUUGUCUGUCGGUUUCCUGGAACCUCUCAUUCCUAUUCCUGACUCUUCGUGCCUAAUAGGCAGCCUGACCUUGAAGAUAUUGAGCUGGCCUGGAGUUAGGAGGAUCUGAGUUCAAGUGCUGCCACAUAGAUGAACGUUCAUAAACAUAGACACAUACAUGUCUGUCUCAAUCUCUGGGUAAGUUAUUUAACCUUUUAGUGUUUUAAGUAACUGGUAUUGUGUAAAGUCAGGCUUUGCUUAAUUAAUCUAGAAAGGCAUAUGUUCAUUUUUUAUUGUCAAUCUGAU